GACGUAGGGGGCGAGCGUUGUCCGGAUUUAUUGGGCGUAAAGAGCUCGUAGGCGGCUCAGAAAGUCGGGUGUGAAACCUCCAGGCUCAACCUGGAGACGCCACCUGAUACUGCUGUGGCUAGAGUCCGGUAGAGGAACACGGAAUUCCCGGUGUAGCGGUGAAAUGCUUAGAUAUCGGGAGGAACACCAGUGGCGAAGGCGGUGUUCUGGGCCGGAACUGACGCUGAGGAGCGAAAGCGUGGGUAGCAAACAGG
rnacentral:rRNA from 1 species